GGGUCCUGCCGAGUCCGAUGAUCGAAGACACGUACAGAGUGCAUGUCACUCGAAACUUCGAGAAAGGUCCCCGGACCUCGGGUAGAAAGUACCGCCGGUUGUUACCGGUUAGCUGCGCUCUACGCCGCGUUGACUGCCAGGGUGUGGUACCGGUAGGAGCGUGGUGUUUGUCAUAGCACAGUAAUGUUUGGAGUCCUAUUCGUCAGAUUAGGAUUACACAACGGGGCCUACUCCGGCAGGACU
rfam:Dendroctonus ponderosae Seq01019579, whole genome shotgun sequence.